rnacentral:rRNA from 1 species
AGUGAACGCUGGCAGUAGGCCUAACACAUGCAAGUCGAACGGCAGCACAGUAAGAGCUUGCUCUUACGGGUGGCGAGUGGCGGACGGGUGAGGAAUACAUCGGAAUCUACUUUUUCGUGGGGGAUAACGUAGGGAAACUUACGCUAAUACCGCAUACGACCUACGGGUGAAAGCAGGGGAUCUUCGCACCUUGCGCGAUUGAAUGAGCCGAUGUCGGAUUAGCUAGUUGGCGGGGUAAAGGCCCACCAAGGCGACGAUCCGUAGCUGGUCUGAGAGGAUGAUCAGCCACACUGGAACUGAGACACGGUCCAGACUCCUACGGGAGGCAGCAGUGGGGAAUAUUGGACAAUGGGCGCAAGCCUGAUCCAGCCAUACCGCGUGGGUGAAGAAGGCCUUCGGGUUGUAAAGCCCUUUUGUUGGGAAAGAAAAGCAGCAGGUUAAUACCCCGCUGUUCUGACGGUACCCAAAGAAUAAGCACCGGCUAACUUCGUG